CGUACAGAUUACAUGGAUAUCUGUGGUAAUUCUAGAGCUAAUACAUGCACCAAAUCCGUUCCCUCGUGGAGCGGAUGCAGUUAUUUGCCUAAAAACCAAUCCGGCCUUCGGGUCGGUCAAUUGGUGACUCUGAAUAACCGAAGCAGAGCGCAUGGUCUCGUACCGGCGCCAGAUCUUUCAAGUGUCUGACUUAUCAGCUUGUCGUUAGGUUAUGUUCCUAACGAGGCUUUGACGGGUUCGGCGGGUUGGGGCUCAACACCGGAGAGGGAGCCUGAGAAACGGCUACCACAUCCAAGGAAGGCAGCAGGCGCGCAAAUUACCCACUCCCGGCACGGGGAGGUAGUGACGAAAAAUAACGAUGCGAGAGCUUUUAGCUCCUCGUAAUCGGAAUGGGUACACUUUAAAUCCUAUAACGAGGAUCUAUUGGAGGGCAAGUCUGGUGCCAGCAGCCGCGGUAAUUCCAGCUCCAAUAGCAUAUAUUAAAGUUGCUGCGGUUAAAAAGCUCGUAGUUGGAUCUGGGUAGUCGAUGGACGGUGCGCCUCACGGCGUCUACUGUUCGUUCGGCACCACAUACCGGCCAUGUCUUGCAUGCUCUUCACUGAGUGUGCUUGGCGACCGGAACGUUUACUUUGAAAAAAUUAGAGUGCUCAAAGCAGGCGUUAAGCCUUGCAUAAUGGUGCAUGGAAUAAUGGAAUAGGACCUCGGUUCUAUUUUGUUGGUUUUCGGAGCUCGAGGUAAUGAUUAACAGGAACAGACGGGGACAUUCGUAUUGCGGCGUUAGAGGUGAAAUUCUUGGAUCGUCGCAAGACGCACUACUGCGAAAGCAUUUGUCAAGAAUGUUUUCAUUAAUCAAGAACGAAAGUUAGAGGUUCGAAGGCGAUCAGAUACCGCCCUAGUUCUAACCAUAAACGAUGCCAACCAGCGAUCCGUCGGUGUUUAUAUGAUGACUCGACGGGCAGCUUCCGGGAAACCAAAGUGCUUAGGUUCCGGGGGAAGUAUGGUGCAAAGCUGA
rnacentral:rRNA from 1 species